GAUUAGCAGAGAUUGCAUCCAGGCUCAAGGACUUUGGAAAUCAGCGAUUCCGUUUUUGUCCGUAGGUUAUUACUUAACCUACCUUGUAUGAUAUCGGCUUAGUUUAGUGUUGCUCUGAUAAACCUUUCUUUUAAGUUGGAUGGAGGUUGUUGUUUGGUUUGUUGUUACUUACGGAGGAUUAUGUUGGGAUUUGAACUUUCUGGAUGUAAUAUAUAUGUGCUUGGAUUGUAAAUUUGAUAUCGUAGGUUGAGUAGAAGAUAUAGUUGAAAUCAUGUCCAGGUUUGUGAAAUUUUGGGUAACCCAUUUUUAGGGGAGGUUCUGCCGAAUUUUCGGUAGGAUUUCACUUAAAGUGGGCCCCGCAGGCUCGUAUCCAGGUAAGUGGGGCGAUUCCUGGGUCGGGUCCUGUCACACCUGGGUAAAUUUCUUAAAAGACAAGACGGAAACGUUUGAAUCUUUUAAAAACUUGAGUCAAAAAUUGAUCAUUGAAAAGAAGUCAUCAAAUGCUAGCAUAGUGAGGGUAAGAUCGGAUAAUGGUACUGAAUUUAAAAAUGCCUCUUUCUCUAACUAUUUUCAUGAGCUUGGUGUGUCUCAUGAGCUCUCAGCUCCAAUCACUCCACAGCAAAAUGGCAUUGUGGAAAGGAAAAAUAGGGUAUUGCUGGACAUGGCUCGAGUAAUGUUGCAUGCUGCAGGCUUAAGCACAAACUUUUGGGCUGAGGCUAUCAGUACUGCUUGUUAUACUAUAAACAGAGUAUUCUUCAGACCAGGUACUGAUCAAACAGCUUAUGAGUUGUGGAAAGGUAAAAAGCUAAAUGUUGGAUACUUUCACAUUUUUGGCAGCCCUUGCUACAUUUUACGUGAUAGAGAACAUCUUGGAAAAUUUGAUGCUAGAAGUGACGAUGGUGUUUUCUUGGGAUAUUCUCUGAACAGUAGAGCUUAUAGGGUUUACAAUAAAAGAACCCGAGUUGUUAUGGAAUCCAUUAAUGUUUCUAUUGAUGAUCAAUGUGUAAAACAGGAAGAAUCAUAUGCAGAUCCAUCACCCUCCUCUAUCACUCCACCACUAAUUGCAGAAGCUUCAUCUGAUGAAGAGGAAGAGGAGAUUCCCGACAACAUUUUUGAACCAGCUCCCAUCCAAAGGAAAGGAUUCAAGCAAUUUCAAAAGGAUCACUCCUCUCAAGAUAUCAUCGGAAAUCUGAAAGAUGGACUGACAACAAGGAGAAAAGCUACAGCUCAGGUAAGUACCUCUGAGGUAAGUGAAGGAAGUGCAUUGCUAUGUUUUAUUACUGAAAAUCUGCUAAGCAUGAACAUUAUAUCUCACUUUGGUUUUGUGUCUAUUGUUGAACCAAAAAAUAUUAAGGCAGCUUUAUUGGAUGAUAACUGGAUUAGUGCCAUGAAGGAUGAGCUCAAUCAAUUUACUAGGAAUGAUGUGUGGUACUUGGUACCUCGACCUAGUAAAUGCAAUGUUAUAGGAACUAAGUGGAUUUUUAGAAACAAAAGUGAUGAAAAAGGGAAUGUGGUUAGAAACAAAGCUCGACUAGUAGCUCAAGGAUACUCUCAGAUUGAAGGUCUUGACUUUGACGAGACAUUUGCUCCUAUGGCUAGAUUAGAAUCAGUUAGAUUACUCCUCUCUAUAGCUUGUCAUCUUAGGUUCAAACUGUUUCAAAUGGAUGUCAAAACUGCUUUUCUAAAUGGGAACCUUCAGGAAGAAGUUUAUGUGGAAUAGCCACCAGGUUUCCAAGAUCCACAUAACUUAGAUCAUGUCUACCGUCUCAAGAAGGCUCUGUAUGGGCUAAAGCAGGCUCCCCGAGCCUGGUAUGAGAGGCUCUCCACUCAUCUUGUGGGAAAAGGGUAUGCUAGAGGGUCUAUUGAUAAAACAUUGUUUGUAAAACGAACCAAAAAUGAUAUUAUCAUUGCCCAAGUGUAUGUUGAUGACAUUGUCUUUGGUUCCUCUUCUAGAUAUCUUGUCAAAGAAUUCCAAUCUGUCAUGGAAAGUGAGUUUGAAAUGAGCAUGUGUGGUGAACUAACUUUCUUUCUUGGACUGCAAGUAAGGCAGAUAGACACAGGUUUGUUUCUCUCUCAAACAAAAUACGCUAAAAAUCUGAUCAAGAAAUUUGGUCUUGAAUCUAAGAAGACAGUGAGCAAUCCCAUUAGUACCACUAUUAAGCUGAGCGAAGACCAGAAUGGGAAAUCAGUUGAUCACACACUAUAUCGCAGCAUGAUAGGUAGUUUGCUCUAUCUCACUGCCAGCAGACCUGACAUAUCUUACAGUGUAGGAGUGUGCGCACGCUUUCAAGCUAAUCCUAAAGAAUCACACUUGGAAGCUGUCAAGAGAAUCAUUCGCUAUAUAUCAGGUACAGUUGACUGUGGAAUUUUCUAUACCUUUGAUACUAACGUGGAAAUUGCAGGAUAUUCUGACGCUGACUGGGGAGGAAACUUAAAGGAUAGAAAAAGUACCUCCGGGGGAUGUUUCUUCAUUGGCAACAAUCUGGUUGCCUGGCAUAGCAAGAAACAAAAUUGCAUCUCUCUAUCUACUGCAGAAGCUGAGUAUGUUGCAGCUGGGAGUUGUUGCACGCAAAUGCUGUGGAUGAAACAAUUGCUUCAUGAUUAUGGCAUUCCGAAAGGUUUGUCAAUUAACUUGUAUUUCUCACCAUGGUUCGCACAAAGCACACAACUCGACUUGGUGGACAUCGCCGCCUGCCUCAUCUAGAGGAAGGCCGUCAGGCCGCCAUCCGGGCCGGGAUUCUCCAUCCCGGCAUGCAGCGUGAACGUAGUCGGAGCCCUCCUCUUCACUCCUCAACGCCUGGUGCCUCUUCUGCUGCUCCUCCUCCUGUCUCUCUGGAUAGUCUCAGUGACCAGAUCCUGGUAGCUGACUGGAGAAUUGCCUGCCUCACUAUGGACAUGGACGACAUGCAUUCCCUUCUGGUUCGUACUAGUCAUGCUCUGACCAACCUCACACAGGAGAUCCGGAACAUGCAGCGUCACCCUCCCGGGUUUGACGCUCCCGCUCCCUCCACCGCUGUUCCAGCAGCAGUCGCCCCUGCAGAGACCUCAACUUCCAUGGACAGCGAGGAGUUUCAGGAUCAUGUCGUCAAGCUUAUGGAGGAAGUCGAAGGGCAUUCCCGUUCAAAGGGGGAGAAGUAAACUCUUUUUAUUUUUCUGUUUUUUUUUUUUAUGCUUUCUGCAGUUUAAUUUCAAUCAAACAAUAUUUUUUUUAUGGGUUGUAAGUGCAUAAGCACAGAUAUUUUUCUUGGAUGCUUUUGGUUAUUUAGUAAGUUUAUUUUGGCUACUUGGAUCUGGAAAAGGAUGGAAACUGAUUCCUUAAUCCAAGUAGUAUCCUUUGUUUAGUGACUAGUGUUUAUUUGUGAUAACUAACAUGCAGGACAAAAAGCUUGAAAAAUCAUGUGUUGAAUGGGAAUGCCCAAAGGGGGAGAUUGUAAGUAUUUUGGGCUGUUCACCAUUCAAUACAUGAUUUCCCUUUUGUCACAAGAAAACCGGAGCAUUAAGGAAACAAAGAUAAAGGAUCAAAGGAUCGGAUCUUGAAGAGAAGAUUAGGCCAAAUUAAGUCAUUGAUCUUGAGUUUAAUAUGUUUUGAUUCCAUAUCUUUUUGAUGCUUUUUGAUUGAUAUGCAUAUCAAUCAAUUUGAUUCAAAUCUAUUAUGCAUUAAAGAGGGAUUUAAACUUGCAUAUCAAUUUGAGAUCUUGGUUAGGAAAGUUUCGGCUCAUUCAAAAAUUUUUUUAAAACCUUUCUAUAAUUUUCUUAAAUUAUUUAUUAAGAAAAGAUUUGAUUGAGGGGGUGAGUUUCUCCCCUAUAAAAGGUUUCUAAACGAAAGUUAGCGUGGUGGUUUUUCUUUUUUGAUUACACAAAAAUUGCUCUAGAUUGAUUAGAGUUGUUCAUAUCGUUUUUCUAGAAAAACCCUCUUUAUGUGUUUCAUGUAUUCCAUUGCAAAAUCAUUUCAUACUUAUUCUCAAGAUCGUGAUUUAAAUUGACAGCACGAAAAGUUGAAGGUUAAGUAUCUUGAAUGUUGUAUUAGGAGUUAGAACAGUUGUAAAACAAGUUGGCAUGUGUUGCUAAGUGAGAGUGUUUGUUAAGAACAACACGACUUGUAUUCUGUAAA